rnacentral:tRNA from 1 species
GCGGGAGUAGCUCAGUUGGAAGAGCGCUGGCCCUCCAAGCCGGUUGUCGCGGGUUCGAGUCCCGUCUCCCGCUCCG